rnacentral:ncRNA from 1 species
CUGUGGUCGCAAAAAUAUAGUCUGUAAAGGUGUUCAGCAUACGGAACACGGUUAGAAUCCGUGACGGUCCCGCCGCUGUAACCCCGCCAUUUUAAUAAUGGAACCCUGUUGGCGUUUUUCGUCACUGUCCCGGAAAACCGGUAUGGGAAGGCGGCCAAAUGGGGCGGGGAAGUCAGAAGACGAGCUGAAUGGCCUUGAUGCAAG